GAGGAUCAAGGCAAAUAUGAGAUUGCUGAUUCACAUAAAGAAGCUGAAAAGGAAGGGGAUGAGUACUUGUCAUACAAAGAGAGCUGGGAUUGCAAGCUAGAGUUGUUGGUGAAUUGCUCCAACCUGGUGGCCACAUAAAAUUGAUGCAACUGGAUUUAGAAGAUUGUGUAGAGAACAUAGAUGCUCAAAAGGAGAUGUUCCAGGUAGA